rnacentral:rRNA from 1 species
AACGAACGCUGGCGGCAUGCCUAACGCAUGCAAGUCGAACGAGACCUUCGGGUCUAGUGGCGCACGGGUGCGUAACGCGUGGGAACCUGCCCUUAGGUUCGGAAUAACUCCCCGAAAGGGGUGCUAAUACCGGAUAAUGUCUUCGGACCAAAGAUUUAUCGCCUUUGGAUGGGCCCGCGUUGGAUUAGCUAGUUGGUAGGGUAAAAGCCUACCAAGGCGACGAUCCAUAGCUGGUCUGAGAGGAUGAUCAGCCACACUGGGACUGAGACACGGCCCAGACUCCUACGGGAGGCAGCAGUGGGGAAUAUUGGACCAUGGGCGAAAGCCUGAUCCAGCAAUGCCGCGUGAGUGAUGAAGGCCUUAGGGUUGUAAAGCUCUUUUACCCGGGAUGAUAAUGACAGUACCGGGAGAAUAAGCUCCGGCUAACUCCGUG